rnacentral:rRNA from 1 species
UACGGAAGGUCCGGGCGUUAUCCGGAUUUAUUGGGUUUAAAGGGAGUGUAGGCGGCCUGUUAAGCGUGUUGUGAAAUGUAGAUGCUCAACAUCUGAACUGCAGCGCGAACUGGCUGGCUUGAGUACACGCAACGUGGGCGGAAUUCAUGGUGUAGCGGUGAAAUGCUUAGAUAUCAUGAGGAACUCCUAUUGCGAAGGCAGCUCACGGGAGUGUCACUGACGCUUAAGCUCGAAGGUGCGGGUAUCAAACAGGAUUAGAUACCCGUGUAGU